rnacentral:rRNA from 1 species
UACGGAGGGAGCUAGCGUUGUUCGGAAUUACUGGGCGUAAAGCGCACGUAGGCGGCUUUGUAAGUUAGAGGUGAAAGCCCGGAGCUCAACUCCGGAAUUGCCUUUAAGACUGAAUCGCUUGAAUCCUGGAGAGGUGAGUGGAAUUCCGAGUGUAGAGGUGAAAUUCGUAGAUAUUCGGAAGAACACCAGUGGCGAAGGCGGCUCACUGGACAGGUAUUGACGCUGAGGUGCGAAAGCGUGGGGAGCAAACAGG